CUCCUACUGCUUUAAUCAAUUAAAAUAACUUUUACAAUCUAAUAAACAAGUAUUACAAUUAAUUUAAUAAUUUAGUCCCAAAUUUGUAACUAUAUUAUCUUUAUUACUUUAACUAGCCGAAAUUAGUUUUUACAAUUUAAUAGAAAAAGUAUUCAAAUUAAUUUUGCUAACCAAUUAAUUACAGUAAUUAACUAAUAAUAUAUUUGAUAAUUAUAAUUGAUUACAUUUAAUUAGGAUUUAUUAAGUCUAAUUAAUUUGAUUAUAAAAGGGGUUAAAAUUCAAAAAGGCUACAAUUACAAUUGUUCAAUUAAAUUCAAUGUGGCUAUGAAUUAAAUUCAUACCCAGCUGAUUUAGCCCAAACCACAUGCCCAAAAUGCUUGACCCUUUCCAGAACCCACCUCCUCUGUCCAAGAUGGAAAUCCAUGCUGCCCCUUCUAAGCCAAUGGUAAUGCGCCACGCCAUCCCUUUCCAACACUCACAAAAGAAAUACAAAAUGAUCCGGAUCAUUGAUCCAAUUCAUCAACGGUCCAUAAUUAAUCUCUAUUUUUCUUUUAUUGUUAAACUUUUGCUGGAUCUCAUCUCAACUGUUGGAUCACAAAGAUCAAAAGAUCGUCGUUUUUUCCACAAUAAAUGCUUAUCAAUUUUUCUAAACUCCAAAAAAUUGGAGCCGUUGAUCAAAUGAUCCAACGACUCAUAUUGCAUCUCACUUUUAACCUAAGAGACACCACUAACGCUAAUCAUUCCUCCACAUGACACGCCGCCCUCUUUCCCCAUUCUCUUAGUUUUCUCUCAAUUCUACAAACCCCAUCAAUCCAAAACCUUGCACAAAUUUGUGCAAGGUCACCUAAAUCAAACCAAAUCACCCCUUUUGUCCCCUCAAUCCUCGAAUCCCACCGGAUUAUUUCCAUUUUCACAACUCUAAUUCAAAUUCCCAAAUCUCCGAAACCCUAGACCUAAAACGUUCAAAUGAGAAUACUAUUAUCCUUUAUCUGUUCCUUCAAAUCAAGCAUGCAUGACCAUCGAUCUUCAAUGUCAUCAUCAUUAUUCGUUGUCCAGAAGUCAAACGCAGUGACCUCUGGACAUGGAGCUCUGACCGAUGGUCCUUCACUCUUUAAACGGUCGACUCCUCCUCCAUUAUCAUGAUAACGAAAAUCUCCAUUAUUUUCCCCUCUGUUCUAUUCUAAUUUUCCACUUCUUGCUAUUAUCAUCUGUCAAUCGUCAUUCUCCACUAUCUAUUGAACUCAAACGGAACCCUAGUGACUUGAAUGCCACUAUGAAUAAAGCAUUGAAUACUCACACCUAACAUACCUAAAAACACCAGAAAAUACACUAAAAGUAAUGAAGAGCAUAAAAAUUCAAACUUUCUGCUAAGCUUAAGUUCUAGUAGUACUUAUCUAUUUUCUUAUUUUUCUUUCUUUCAUUUAUGUUCGAGUUCAACCACCGUGAGUUGAUCGUUGUGAGUUUGGGGUUCCUAGACGAUUACUAAUCUCAUUUGCUUGGUUUGUUGCUCCACAGAAGGUCGGUGUAUACUGAACCCCUCUCUUUUAUUUUUUAAAUUAGUUAUUCAAUAUUGUGUUUAUGUUGUUUACCCGAUAAUCACCUGUUUGUUCUUGAUAAUGUAUGGUUCUUCUUAUUAUAACCUGAUAUUCAUGUCACUAUGUUCUUUUAAUAUUAGUGGGUUUCCUGAUAAUUGUGUUGUCUUCAAUGGCUAUUGAACUUUACCUGUCAUGACUUAAUUAGUAAAAAUGCUUAUGCGCUAUUUUUACUCUUAUGAACAAAUCCUAUUGAACCUUUUAUGAUUAUCUGAGCCAAACCUUAUGUUGAUAUUAUGUGUGUUCUAUCCCUGUUAGUUAAAUGAUGGCCAUCCUACCCUGUUAGCUAAAUCGAUUGAGUUAUAUUUUUAAGCUUUCUCCUGAUAUCCUGUUAAGAUAUCACACCUGCUGCACUGUGCUAUCUUGAUCCUUAUGCUUAUGAUAUCAUGUAGCAUUGUUUUUGUUAAAUAAAAUGAAUCUUACCACUGUUCGCACUCUCAUGUUGAUCGUUUUGACUCCAAUUGAUAACUUGUUUAUGAUAAUGUGAUUAAAUGAUUCAUGUGUUUAUUGUGGUGGUCUGAAAUAAAAGAAAUCAUAUAAUGAACCUUGUUGGUCUGCUCACACAUCUGGAUGCAACUUGUUAGGACCAGUUAUGCAAUGAGUGUCACCGUUUUAGCAUCUCAUGACUGUUUUGGCUUUGUGAUAGUAUGUUUCAUCUAUAUUGUUGUAUUGGCUGAAUGAUACCUAUUUGACUUCUGCACCUAUGUCUACACUUAUCAUAUUGUUUCUGCUAAUCCAGUAGUGUUCAGGAACCAUUGCAUUCCUUUAGCUAAGAGAACUUCAUGUUUAAGUCACCAUGUUGGUUUGCUUGUAGUCUCCUAUUAAUCUUCCCUAAUGGUUGCGCUUAUCUCAUCAUGCUAAUCUAAUUACUUAGAUAAAGAGCCUUAGAUAGUAGUCAUGCUUGGUCUAUAUUGAUUAUGUCUAGCUGAAAAAUAAAAAAAUGGCUUGGAUGUUAUCAUGAUAAUCUAAUAAAGGUAUGGGUACAUCUUAACCUUGGGUAUCACAGUAUUCCUACUUGUCAAUUUAAAAUGAUGUUAUGCAUUCAUCUACCUAUUUCGUUUUGGCCAUUUAUGUUUGGUUUUUUAUGAUCGUGUGAUGUCUGAGACAUUAUUCGGGAGGACUUCCCUUGUCAAUUUCAGUAACUGCUCACUUUGGUAACCUAAUAGCUUGACUGAAUGUUGUUGAACAUGUACUAUGCCUGUAGGAUCUCAAAUGGAAGGUUUUGAUGAAGUGCUUCUGAGCUAUGUAGAUGUUGUGGAGCUAAUCCGAGCUAUUUGGAGAUUUAAAGUUUGAGUAAAUGCCCAAAGGAUUCAGCCGAGAUCGUGUUCGGGGGGUCGAGGACCAAGUUUGGAUGUCAAAAAA